AGGCUGAGCUGUGAUGGCGAGCGAAAUAUAGUAGCGAAGUUCCUGAUUCCACACUGCCAAGAAAAGCCUCUAGCGAGGUGAGAGGUGCCCGUACCGCAAACCGACACAGGUAGGCGAGGAGAGAAUCCUAAGGUGAUCGAGAGAACUCUCGUUAAGGAACUCGGCAAAAUGACCCCGUAACUUCGGGAGAAGGGGUGCUCUGUUAGGGUGCAAGCCCGAGAGAGCCGCAGUGAAUAGGCCCAGGCGACUGUUUAGCAAAAACACAGGUCUCUGCGAAGCCGUAAGGCGAAGUAUAGGGGCUGACGCCUGCCCGGUGCUGGAAGGUUAAGAGGAGCGCUUAGCGUAAGCGAAGGUGCGAAUUGAAGCCCCAGUAAACGGCGGCCGUAACUAUAACGGUCCUAAGGUAGCGAAAUUCCUUGUCGG
rnacentral:rRNA from 1 species